rnacentral:rRNA from 1 species
GACGAACGCUGGCGGCGUGCUUAACACAUGCAAGUCGAACGGAAAGGCCCUGCUUUUGUGGGGUGCUCGAGUGGCGAACGGGUGAGUAACACGUGAGUAACCUGCCCUUGACUUUGGGAUAACUUCAGGAAACUGGGGCUAAUACCGGAUAGGAGCUCCUGCUGCAUGUUGUGGGUUGGAAAGUUUCGGCGGUUGGGGAUGGACUCGCGGCUUAUCAGCUUGUUGGUGGGGUAGUGGCUUACCAAGGCUUUGACGGGUAGCCGGCCUGAGAGGGUGACCGGCCACAUUGGGACUGAGAUACGGCCCAGACUCCUAAGGGAGGCAGCAGUGGGGAAUAUUGCACAAUGGGCGGAAGCCUGAUGCAGCAACGCCGCGUGCGGGAUGACGGCCUUCGGGUUGUAAACCGCUUUCGCCUGUGACGAAGCGUGAGUGACGGUAAUGGGUAAAGAAGCACCGGCUAACUACGUG